rnacentral:rRNA from 1 species
UACGCAGGGGGCUAGCGUUGUUCGGAAUUACUGGGCGUAAAGCGCGCGCAGGCGGUUCUUUAAGUCAGGGGUGAAAGCCCAGAGCUCAACUCUGGAAUUGCCUUUGAAACUAGAGAACUUGGGUACGGGAGAGGUGAGUGGAAUUCCGAGUGUAGAGGUGAAAUUCGUAGAUAUUCGGAAGAACACCAGUGGCGAAGGCGGCUCACUGGCCCGUUACCGACGCUCAGGCGCGACAGCGUGGGGAGCAAACAGG